CCGAGGCUUCAGUGCGCUCAGGCAUCGCAUACCAUACCGACAUACGCAAUGUCCUCGGUAGACUAGGAAUUCCAAGGCCGUUAGCCAUCAGCAUCCUGAGCCCCUAGGCCGAAAUGUUGUGUAAAUGGACGUACAAGGGAAAGAGUGAGACAAAUAGACAGAGGUGUGGCACUAUGAAGUACGCAGUAUGAAGUUGCUAGAAAUGGAGAGAGAGAGAGAGAGAGAGAGAGAGAGAGAGUGAAAGAGAGAGGCCAUGGGAAAGGAGAGAGACAGAGAGGAACUGACAGACAGAAAGAGACAGCUGGCCUACGUGUAGAAGUGAGUGAGUUGCCAUUGCAGGUCACGGAUUUUCCGUGUGUUGUUUUAACCCUAAAUGUAUUAAAGUGGAGAAUGAACGCUGCAGUACACUGGCUGCACGCAGCCUCACGGCUGAUUUGCAAGGGAAAGCACAGAGUCAUGGUUCACCUUCCAAGUGAGAUGCAUCGCACUGCUGCCUCCACUGCCCCUCACAAGAUGUCCGAAAGGAUGACCAGAGAGAAAAAUAACCACAAGAAAUUAAGGUUUGACAAGGGUUAAAUGAAGGUUAUACGUCUUAACAAGGUGGUUUCCCAAUUCAUUCUCACUGAUCUUUAGAUGAGGGAAGCACUUGACAUGACACAGGCCCAAUGUCAGAUUAACUACCAGUGGAAUAACCUAUGUAGCUAUGCCAUUUCAGAAUGCAAUGUACUGUAUGUCCUUGUGGUGAUACUGCCUUCAGUGCCUUGACUAGCUCUGCUAUUGAGGCAAUAAAAUAUCCCCGUGAUUUCCACAGAUCAGGCUGAAAUGAGGGAAAGGGAAAGGGGAUACCUAGUCAGUUGCACAACUGAAUGCGUUCAACCAAAAUGUGUCUUCCGAUUUGAACCCAACCCCUCUGAAUCAGGGGGAGCGGUGGUGCACAUAGAUGACAUGAAAUAGACCUUCUGUCAGUGUAGAGCAAUGUAGUCUCACGUUGUUUAUUAUUACCUUAUUACCUCAGUUACUGUCUCUGUUUCAAAUGAUUAAAAUAAAUAAAUAAUCAUUAUUAUUAUUAUCAAAGUAAUUGUAUAUCUUUCUCUAUGAAAGCACUUUUGCUCCCCAGGUAGUGUAAUGUAGGCAUGGUAAGAGAUGUACAGUGCAUUACAAUUCCAUACAGCAAUAUAGCACUGUGUCAUCGCAUGUAUGGCUACUAAUAAAGUUAUUCAAGCUCCUUUCAAACAAAAUGGCUGACAGCAGUAUCCUUCUUUAACCUCUGCCAUCCUGCUUCCGUGUCUCUCAUUCCUCCCACUCUCUCGACCCUGCAGUAGAGGGAGUAGGAAGAGGAGGGGGAAAAUCCCCAAAUUCUCAGUCUCCAUAGCAACAGUAGUCAGGUGACCUUGUCUCCGACUCAUACUGCUGAGUCAGAGAAAUUGAAGGCUUGAACAAGAUGGAGAACAGAAUAUAGUGAGACAGAGAGAGAGAGAGAGAGAGAGAGAUUAAAUGGA